rnacentral:rRNA from 1 species
UACGAAGGGAGCUAGCGUUGCUCGGAAUGACUGGGCGUAAAGGGCGCGUAGGCGGAUGGCACAGUCAGAUGUGAAAUUCCUGGGCUUAACCUGGGGGCUGCAUUUGAUACGUGUUGUCUAGAGUGAGGAAGAGGGUUGUGGAAUUCCCAGUGUAGAGGUGAAAUUCGUAGAUAUUGGGAAGAACACCGGUGGCGAAGGCGGCAGCCUGGUCCUUGACUGACGCUGAGGCGCGAAAGCGUGGGGAGCAAACAGG